GUUAAUGCAUAAAUUUUUGAAUGUGUAUGUUUGUUACUCCUUCACGCAAAAACUGCUUUACGGAUUUGAUCAAAU